GACGAACGCUGGCGGCGUGCUUAAUACAUGCAAGUCAACGAUUUUUAAGAUAGCAAUAUUUUAAAAAUAGUGGCGCACGGUGAGUAACACGUAGAUAAUCUGCCUUUAGGUCUGACAUAACUCGUCGAAAGACGGGCUAAUAUCAGAUAAAACAAUAACUUGGCAUCAAGUAAUUGUCAAAAGCUUCGGCGCCCAAAGAUGAGUCUGCGGACCAUUAGGUAGUUGGUGGAUUAACAGCCCACCAAGCCAACGAUGGAUAGCUGGUCUGAGAGGAUGAUCAGCCACACUGGAACUGAGACACGGUCCAGACUCCUACGGGAGGCAGCAGUAAGGAAUAUUGCUCAAUGGGAGAAAUCCUGAAGCAGCAACGCCGACGUGAAGGAAGAAGGGUACUUCGGACUUGU
rnacentral:rRNA from 1 species